rnacentral:rRNA from 1 species
UACGUAGGGUGCAAGCGUUGUCCGGAAUUAUUGGGCGUAAAGAGCUCGUAGGUGGCCUGUCGCGUCGGCUGUGAAAACUCGGGGCUCAACUCCGAGUUUGCAGUCGAUACGGGCAGGCUAGAGUUCGGCAGGGGAGACUGGAAUUCCUGGUGUAGCGGUGAAAUGCGCAGAUAUCAGGAGGAACACCGGUGGCGAAGGCGGGUCUCUGGGCCGAUACUGACACUGAGGAGCGAAAGCGUGGGGAGCGAACAGG